rnacentral:lncRNA from 1 species
CUGAAACCUCCAAAAUGGAGCCAAAAACCAACCGUUUCUCUUUAUAAGUUGAUCAUCUCAGGUAUUUGCUAUAGUGAUGGAAAGCUACCACAGAGGGUAAAGUUAAAUGAGGUCAUAAGGGCAGGACUCUAAUCUGAUAGAACCUGUGUCUUCCAAAGAGAAAAGAGCUGCCAGAACUCACUGUCUCUACACACACAAAGGAAAGGCUACAUGAGGACACAUAGAACCACGCAGGACAGUCAGAAAAUGACUCUGCUGAACCUCAUCUGAAGCUUCCAGCAUCUAAACUUUUCUUUUCCAUUAAUCUUCUGGUUCAACAGACUCCUAUCAGAGCUUCAGGAAGAACUUUGGCUGUUCCCAGGCUCCAAGUUCAAGGACUCUUUCACCUAAUGAUUACUAAGAGAAGCCAACUGCCAUGCUGUGAGCUACCCUAAGGAGAGAGUCACAUGGGCAAAAGGAAAGAAAAGCCCUGAUAUUUUUGGUUAAGAGCCAAUGAGGACCCAAGGCCUGCCAACAGCCAUGUGUAUCCAAGUACACUCCUGCAGUCACUUACUAUGUUAGGAAUAUGCAGUCGUAUGGAGUACUACUCCGUCAUCAAGGAGGAUAAACUUGAGGCAUUUUUAGGUAAAUAGAUGCACCUCAAGACCAUAAUUUUAAGUGAAAUAAACCAGACACACAAGUUUAAAUCUAGCAUUGUUUUCCUUGUGUGAGAAACUCAAAGGGUAAAUAAGGAACAAAAUGGAGGAUAGAUAUUGGCAAGUAGGAAGAACAUGUUCAAAUGGGAAGGGGAACAAAGGAGGAG